GACGAACGCUGGCGGCGUGCCUAAUACAUGCAAGUUGAGCGAUGAAGAUUGGUGCUUGCACCAAUUUGAAGAGCAGCGAACGGGUGAGUAACGCGUGGGGAAUCUGCCUUUGAGCGGGGGACAACAUUUGAAAACGAAUGCUAAUACCGCAUAACAACUUUAAACAUAAGUUUUAAGUUUGAAAGAUGCAAUUGCAUCACUCAAAGAUGAUCCCGCGUUGUAUUAGCUAGUUGGUGAGGUAAAGGCUCACCAAGGCGAUGAUACAUAGCCGACCUGAGAGGGUGAUCGGCCACAUUGGGACUGAGACACGGCCCAAACUCCUACGGGAGGCAGCAGUAGGGAAUCUUCGGCAAGAGACGAAAGUCUGACCGAGCAACGCCGCGUGAGUGAAGAAGGUUUUCGGAUCGUAAAACUCUGUUGGUAGAGAAGAACGUUGGUGAGAGUGGAAAGCUCAUCAAGUGACGGUAACUACCCAGAAAGGGACGGCUAACUACGUG
rnacentral:rRNA from 1 species